rnacentral:rRNA from 1 species
GCUACGGGUGGCAGCCGUGAGGAAUAUUGGUCAAUGGACGAGAGUCUGAACCAGCCAAGUAGCGUGAAGGAUGACUGCCCUAUGGGUUGUAAACUUCUUUUAUAAAGGAAUAAAACGAGGCACGUGUGCCUUUUUGCAUGUACUUUAUUAAUAAGUAUCGGCUAACUCCGGACCAGCAGCCACGGUACUACGGAUGAUCCGAGCGUUAUCCGGAUUGAUUGGGUUUACAGAGAGCGUAGAUGGGUUGUUAAGCCAGUUGUGCAAGUUUGCGGCUCAACCGUAAAAUUGCAAUUGAUACUGGCAGUCUUGAGUACAGUUGAGGUAGGCGGAAUUCGUGGUGUAGCGGUGAAAUG